AACAGUUUGAAGAAUGCAGUUUCAUUGUCCGGAUGAUUAAAUUGUAAAGACUGUCACCAGUUUGAGGCCUGGAUGACAUGGGCCAUUUCUGAAGGCCCAGAGGUCACAGCUGAGCACAAAUAUAUAUAUCUGGAGAAGUGGUGAAAAUGCAUGACUGACAGCAUUGCACAGGUUGCCUUGUGGAAGGAUUGGGAAAAAGGAGUCAUCUAACUGGGAAACAGGACACAAUAUACAUAAUCUCCACUGAUGUGCAGAUUUCAAAAAAAUCAAUA
rnacentral:lncRNA from 11 species